UCUUGUUUCUUUACAACCACAAAAAAGAAAUAGAAAAUUAUAUAUUUAAAGCAACAAAGGGAAUGACGAGAUAUGGAUGGAACAAUGCAGGUUAUAAAGUUGUAUAUAUGUACGCACACAUAUCUGUGAUACGUAUCAAGAAAUUGUCGUGAAAGCACGCAUAUGAAGUAGCUAUUUGCUAGAUAACAAACAGAUUCAUUACACAUGAUAUGAUAUAUAUAGAGUUUAUUAGUAAUUUAUGGAUGGGUGGAAGCUGUUAGAGUGAUAUUGGCAGAGGCAGAACAUCAUCUGAAGAUUGAAGGGAAAUGAAUCCAAUUAAGUCACUGGGGGAACUCCGGUAGAAGUUGCACCACGAAGAGUGGAAGCUGGGCCACUCAGCUGAGCCGGAAUGAAAUCACCGACCAUAUCUAUUUUCAAUUAUUCAUAUUCAUGCAUACCGUGCUUACAAAGCAGGACCAUCUAGUACGGACCACACAUCAAAGGUCUUGUUGAUAUUUAACACUCACCGUUCUCCUUGUAAUAUGCAUGUUUAAUCUCAUGUUAGAGUUUUUACUAUACUAGAUAUGAUUUUUGGUAAAAUUUUA